CGGGAAAUCGGUAGAGGUAUGGAGGGACACCAGUAGGCGAAGGCGACUUUUUUGUCUGUAACUGACACUGAGGCGAGAAAGCGUGGGGAGCAAACAGGAUGAGAUAACCUGGUAGUCCACACCGUAAACGAUGAGUGCUAAGUGUGAGAGGGUUUCCGCCCUUUAGUGCUGAAGUUAACGCAUUAAGCACUCCGCCUGGGGAGUACGGCCGCAAGGCUGAAACUCAAAGGAAUUGACGGGGGCCCGCACAAGCGGUGGAGCAUGUGGUUUUAAUUCGAAGCAACGCGAAGAACCUUACCAGGUCUUGACAUCCUUUGAAAACCCUAGAGAUAGGGCUUCUCCUUCGGGAGCAGAGUGACAGGUGGUGCAUGGUUGUCGUCAGCUCGUGUCGUGAGAUGUUGGGUUAAGUCCCGCAACGAGCGCAACCCUUGAUCUUAGUUGCCAUCAUUAAGUUGGGCACUCUAAGGUGACUGCCGGUGACAAACCGGAGGAAGGUGGGGAUGACGUCAAAUCAUCAUGCCCCUUAUGACCUGGGCUACACACGUGCUACAAUGGACGGUACAAAGAGCUGCAAGACCGCGAGGUGGAGCUAAUCUCAUAAAACCGUUCUCAGUUCGGAUUGUAGGCUGCAACUCGCCUACAUGAAGCUGGAAUCGCUAGUAAUCGCGGAUCAGCAUGCCGCGGUGAAUACGUUCCCGGGCCUUGUACACACCGCCCGUCACACCACGAGAGUUUGUAACACCCGAAGUCGGUGGGGUAACCUUUUUGGAGCCAGCCGCCUAAGGUGGGACAGAUGAUUGGGGUGAAGUCGUAACAAGGUU
rnacentral:rRNA from 1 species